AAUGCGUACGCCCCGCAUAAAAGUAUAAAAACCCUCGCGGGACUUGAAUCGCCUUGUUCAAUUCUCUCAAUUGAUCAUCUGACUCUCUCUUCUUCACUUCCCACUCUUUGAUUUUGUAUUAUUCAUUUUGUUUUCUUCUUUCAGCUGGGUUUUGAUUUUUGAAGAUGGCUUCAAUGAAAUCAAACGCUCUGCCAAUAAUUGGGUUCAUGUUCUUCACAAUUCUGCGACUCAGUUAUGGGCAGGGGGCGACGAUGGCUCCUUCGCCCGCACCAAUUCCAUCCAAUGAUGGAAAUACAAUAGAUCAAGGGAUCGCGUAUCUUCUUAUGGUAGUGGCACUUGCAGUCACAUAUCUCAUCCACUAAUUUUAUUCUUAUUAAUUCUUUUUUCUUCUUUCUCCUCCUUCCUGUGUUUCACUCUGAUCAGAGAAGCAGCAAUUUUUUGAUGUAAUAUAUAUAUUAAUAAAAGCUAUUUAUGUUGAUGUG